GCAUAGCCGAGUUGAGAGACUGAUCGGCCACAAUGGGACUGAGACACGGCCCAUACUCCUACGGGAGGCAGCAGUAGGGAAUCUUCCACAAUGGGCGAAAGCCUGAUGGAGCAACGCCGCGUGUGUGAUGAAGGGUUUCGGCUCGUAAAACACUGUUGUAAGAGAAGAAUGACAUUGAGAGUAACUGUUCAAUGUGUGACGGUAUCUUACCAGAAAGGAACGGCUAAAUACGUGCCAGCAGCCGCGGUAAUACGUAUGUUCCAAGCGUUAUCCGGAUUUAUUGGGCGUAAAGCGAGCGCAGACGGUUAUUUAAGUCUGAAGUGAAAGCCCUCAGCUCAACUGAGGAAUUG
rnacentral:rRNA from 1 species